GGCAAUUUAGUCCAGUGGAACGGACGCUGGUUUGAAGCACCAGAGACACCAGUUCGAUUCUGGUAGUUGCCGCCA
rnacentral:tRNA from 1 species